rnacentral:rRNA from 1 species
CCAUGCAGUCGAGCGGUAGAGAGAAGCUUGCUUCUCUUGAGAGCGGCGGACGGGUGAGUAAUGCCUAGGAAUCUGCCUGGUAGUGGGGGAUAACGUUCGGAAACGGACGCUAAUACCGCAUACGUCCUACGGGAGAAAGCAGGGGACCUUCGGGCCUUGCGCUAUCAGAUGAGCCUAGGUCGGAUUAGCUAGUUGGUGGGGUAAUGGCUCACCAAGGCGACGAUCCGUAACUGGUCUGAGAGGAUGAUCAGUCACACUGGAACUGAGACACGGUCCAGACUCCUACGGGAGGCAGCAGUGGGGAAUAUUGGACAAUGGGCGAAAGCCUGAUCCAGCCAUGCCGCGUGUGUGAAGAAGGUCUUCGGAUUGUAAAGCACUUUAAGUUGGGAGGAAGGGUUGUAGAUUAAUACUCUGCAAUUUUGACGUUACCGACAGAAUAAGCACCGGCUAACUCUGUGCCAGCAGCCGCGGUAAUACAGAGGGUGCAAGCGUUAAUCGGAAUUACUGGGCGUAAAGCGCGCGUAGGUGGUUAGUUAAGUUGGAUGUGAAAUCCCCGGGCUCAACCUGGGAACUGCAUUCAAAACUGACUGACUAGAGUAUGGUAGAGGGUGGUGGAAUUUCCUGUGUAGCGGUGAAAUGCGUAGAUAUAGGAAGGAACACCAGUGGCGAAGGCGACCACCUGGACUGAUACUGACACUGAGGUGCGAAAGCGUGGGGGAGCAAACAGGAUUAGAUACCCUGGUAGUCCACGCCGUAAACGAUGUCAACUAGCCGUUGGGAGCCUUGAGCUCUUAGUGGCGCAGCUAACGCAUUAAGUUGACCGCCUGGGGAGUACGGCCGCAAGGUUAAAACUCAAAUGAAUUGACGGGGGCCCGCACAAGCGGUGGAGCAUGUGGUUUAAUUCGAAGCAACGCGAAGACCUUACCAGCCUUGACAUCCAAUGAACUUUCUAGAGAUAGAUUGUGCCUUCGGGACAUUGAGACAGGUGCUGCA